rnacentral:rRNA from 1 species
AAGACGGUCUUGCUGUCACUUAUAGAUGGAUCCGCGCUGCAUUAGCUAGUUGGUAAGGUAACGGCUUACCAAGGCAACGAUGCAUAGCCGACCUGAGAGGGUGAUCGGCCACACUGGAACUGAGACACGGUCCAGACUCCUACGGGAGGCAGCAGUAGGGAAUCUUCCGCAAUGGGCGAAAGCCUGACGGAGCAACGCCGCGUGAGUGAUGAAGGUCUUCGGAUCGUAAAACUCUGUUAUUAGGGAAGAACAUAUGUGUAAGUAACUGUGCACAUCUUGACGGUACCUAAUCAGAAAGCCACGGCUAACUACGUGCCAGCAGCCGCGGUAAUACGUAGGUGGCAAGCGUUAUCCGGAAUUAUUGGGCGUAAAGCGCGCGUAGGCGGUUUUUUAAGUCUGAUGUGAAAGCCCACGGCUCAACCGUGGAGGGUCAU